rnacentral:lncRNA from 1 species
AAAUAACUUUCAAAUGUUAUUCUAAUUUAUGAGUUGCUGCUACAUCGAUCUUCCUACUGAAAACAAAAAUAUCUGUUGCUGACAUCUACCAAAAAGUGAAUUUUUUCCCCAAAUUGAGCUGAGUCCACCUGUUUUGGUAAUGAGUUAGAGAAAUAUAUUCUGUUCUUUUUUAGAAGCUCCAUCAGAGUGGAAGACAUUUAUGAACUAUAUAAAUGUCUCAUUAGACUCCGUCUCAAAAAAAAAAAAGAAAUGUCUCAUUAAUUUUUAGUUAUUGGUUUCUCAUUCUAUGACCCAGAGUCAUGAAAAUUUCAGAAAACCACAGGUUAUUUGUUGAGUGUUCAAAUUGCAUAAUUAAAUAACUGUCAUUGUUGGGAAAGGAGAAUGAUAUGGAAGACAUAGCCCACACUUGGCUCUUGAAAAGUUUACCACUGAACUGAGCUAACAGAUAAAACUUCAUCAAUUUCUUAUCACUGAACCUGAGGGUUACACACAGCUGCACACAUCCUUGCUCUGUAACUCUUUCUGUGAGAGAGGACAUGUGUAACUUCCUAUCUAAGGUCAAUCCCUUUAUCCCUCUUCUGAGAGCUGCAAUGGAGAUCCAGAACACAGUGGAAGAAUAUAUUGAAAUAUGUGUAUCUAAGGUGUUCUAUAAAUUCUCAUUUCAAUGGGCUGUCCCUUAGAUAACCAACACUCAUAUGUUGUUUCAUUUCUCAAUGCAUCUUACUGUGUUCCAUAUUACUUUGAGUCUAAUGGAAUGUACCAGCUUAAAUGGAGACUGUAUCUCUGCCUUUAUUACUAGAUCUGGUUGAUAUUGUUGUUAUCUGGAGUUUGAGAACUCUCUUCCCUUAUCAGGUGAGCUGCAUAAAUAAAAUGGUAUUU